rnacentral:lncRNA from 1 species
GGGAAACCUGGGCAGCUUUGCCUCAACAGGUUGGAAACUACACGGCUGCGCUGGCCCUGAACUGUCCUCCCCGGAGACCUGGUGGACUUCACGCGCGGUCACGCCCGGGCUCAAGGGCGCGAUCCACUGCGGCCGCUCAGCGCUGGGAGGAAAGAAGCCGACGACUGUGACACAGGCCGGGGGUGGGGGUGGGGGUGGGGGUGGGGGGCGCGGCAGUGGAUGCCCGGGCGUCUCGGAGCCACCGCGCGUGUAGCAGCCGCCACCACGACCUCAGCCUCCGGGCCUCGCUGGCCCUCAGCCGGCAACUUUGUCCGCCGAGAGCACCAACUUCCGCACGGAGCUGCCGAAGUUGGGUCGCGACACGAGGGACUCAGGACACCGCUGGCCCGCACCAUCCCCAGCCCGGCCCGCUCCCCGGGUCCCGCGGCGCGCCCAGGUGGCGCGAACCCCUGAAUCGAGGAAUGAAUGGCUGUCGCGGGACACUCGGGACAGGCAGCCCCAGCUCGACGUCGUCCCCCCUCUGACCACCGCCCGCGGGCCACCUGCGCGCGUGGUUGGAGCCUGGGCCGACUCUCGGGACCAAAGCCGAGACAGGCUGGGGAGAGGCCGUCGUCCCUGGGACUGGCGGGAGACCCGUACGAAGGGCGGCCGGAGUCGGGCGGGCCUGGCGCAAGCACGCUUGCGUCUCCGCUGGUCUUACCUGGCUCUGCGGACGCCGCGCGGACUCCGAGCAGCACGACCAGGGCGGCGAGCAAGUCCCGGAGGCGCCGCCGCCGCGGCUGCAGCCGAGGCCACCUGCGGGCACAGAGCACAAGUUAGAGCGCUGCGUGCGCCUGCGUUCCCCGCCGGUGCGACCCCGCUGCCCGCGCCCGUCCGCGGCCCGGCGCGGCCCGCACCUCGGCGCCAUGCUCGGCGGGCCGGACGGACUGUGCCGCGGGAUGCUGCGCCCUCCGCCGCGGUGCACCCGCUCGGCCAGCCGGGCUCUGGCCGCAGCCGGGGCCAGGCGGGGGGGCG